AGAGUUUGAUCAUGGCUCAGGAUGAACGUUGGCGGCGUGCUUAACACAUGCAAGUCGAACGAACCUUCGGGUUAGUGGCGGACGGGUGAGUAACGCGUGGGAAUCUGCCCUCAGGAGGGGGAUAACGGCUGGAAACGGCCGCUAAUACCCCAUAUGCCGAGAGGUGAAAUGAAUUUCGCCUGAGGAUGAGCCCGCGUCUGAUUAGCUAGUUGGUGAGGUAAGAGCUCACCAAGGCAUCGAUCAGUAGCUGGUCUGAGAGGAUGAUCAGCCACACCGGGACUGAGACACGGCCCAGACUCCUACGGGAGGCAGCAGUGGGGAAUUUUCCGCAAUGGGCGAAAGCCUGACGGAGCAACGCCGCGUGAGGGAUGAAGGCCUCUGGGCUGUAAACCUCUUUUCUCAAGGAAGAAGAUCUGACGGUACUUGAGGAAUAAGCCACGGCUAAUUCCGUGCCAGCAGCCGCGGUAAUACGGGAGUGGCAAGCGUUAUCCGGAAUUAUUGGGCGUAAAGCGUCCGCAGGCGGCCCUUCAAGUCUGCUGUUAAAACGUGGAGCUUAACUCCAUCAUGGCAGUGGAAACUGUUGGGCUUGAGUGUGGUAGGGCAGAGGGAAUUCCCGGUGUAGCGGUGAAAUGCGUAGAUAUCGGGAAGAACACCAGUGGCGAAGGCGCUCUGCUGGGGCCAUAACUGACGCUCAUGGACGAAAGCCAGGGGAGCGAAAGGGAUUAGAUACCCCUGUAGUCCUGGCCGUAAACGAUGAACACUAGGUGUCGGGGGAAUCGACCCCCUCGGUGUCGUAGCCAACGCGUUAAGUGUUCCGCCUGGGGAGUACGCACGCAAGUGUGAAACUCAAAGGAAUUGACGGGGGCCCGCACAAGCGGUGGAGUAUGUGGUUUAAUUCGAUGCAACGCGAAGAACCUUACCAGGGUUUGACAUCCUGCGAACCUCUUGGAAACGAGAGGGUGCCUUCGGGAACGCAGUGACAGGUGGUGCAUGGCUGUCGUCAGCUCGUGUCGUGAGAUGUUGGGUUAAGUCCCGCAACGAGCGCAACCCACGUCUUUAGUUGCCAGCAUUUAGUUGGGCACUCUAGAGAGACCGCCGGUGAUAAACCGGAGGAAGGUGUGGAUGACGUCAAGUCAUCAUGCCCCUUACAUCCUGGGCUACACACGUACUACAAUGCUACGGACAAAGAGUAGCAAGUUCGCGAGGACAAGCAAAUCUCAUAAACCGUGGCUCAGUUCAGAUCGUAGGCUGCAACUCGCCUACGUGAAGGAGGAAUCGCUAGUAAUCGCAGGUCAGCAUACUGCGGUGAAUACGUUCCCGGGCCUUGUACACACCGCCCGUCACACCAUGGAAGUUGGCCACGCCCGAAGCCGUUACUCCAACCCUUGUGGAGGAGAACGUCGAAGGUGGGGCUGAUGACUGGGGUGAAGUCGUAACAAGGUAACCGUA
rnacentral:rRNA from 1 species